AGUGGCAGACGGGUGAGUAAUGUAUAGGAAUCUACCUAGUAGUACGGAAUAAUUGUUGGAAACGGCAACUAAUACCGUAUACGCCCUACGGGGGAAAAAUUUAUUGCUAUUAGAUGAGCCUAUAUUAGAUUAGUUAGUUGGUGAGGUAAAGGCUUACCAAGACAAUGAUCUAUAGCUGAUCUGAGAGGAUGAUCAGCCACACUGGAACUGAGAUACGGUCCAGACUCCUACGGGAGGCAGCAGUGGGGAAUAUUGGACAAUGGGCGAAAGCCUGAUCCAGCCAUGCCGCAUGAGUGAAGAAGGCCUUCGGGUUGUAAAGCUCUUUUAGUGAGGAAGAUAAUGACGGUACUCACAGAAGAAGUCCUGGCUAACUCCGUGCCAGCAGCCGCGGUAAUACGGAGAGGGCUAGCGUUAUUCGGAAUCAUUGGGCGUAAAGGGCGCGUAGGCGGGUUAGUAAGUUAAAAGUGAAAUCCCAAGGCUCAACCUUGGAACUGCUUUUAAAACUGCUAGUCUAGAGAUUGAAAGAGGAUAGAGGAAUUCCUAGUGUAGAGAUGAAAUUCGUAAAUAUUAGGAGGAACACCAGUGGCGAAGGCGUCUAUCUGGUUCAAAUCUGACGCUGAGGCGCGAAGGCGUGGGGAGCAAACAGGAUUAGAUACCCUGGUAGUCCACGCUGUAAACGAUGAAUGUUAAAUAUGGGAAGUUUACUUUCUGUAUUAUAGCUAACGCGUUAAACAUUCCGCCUGGGGACUAC
rnacentral:rRNA from 1 species